AUGAACGCUGGCGGCGUGCCUAAUACAUGCAAGUCGAGCGAACAGAUAAGGAGCUUGCUCCUUUGAAGUUAGCGGCGGACGGGUGAGUAACACGUGGGUAACCUACCUAUAAGACUGGGAUAACUUCGGGAAACCGGAGCUAAUACCGGAUAACAUUUAGAACCGCAUGGUUCUAAAGUGAAAGAUGGUUUUGCUGUCACUUAUAGAUGGACCCGCGCCGUAUUAGCUAGUUGGUAAGGUAACGGCUUACCAAGGCGACGAUACGUAGCCGACCUGAGAGGGUGAUCGGCCACACUGGAACUGAGACACGGUCCAGACUCCUACGGGAGGCAGCAGUAGGGAAUCUUCCGCAAUGGGCGAAAGCCUGACGGAGCAACGCCGCGUGAGUGAUGAAGGGUUUCGGCUCGUAAAACUCUGUUAUUAGGGAAGAACAAAUGUGUAAGUAACUGUGCACAUCUUGACGGUACCUAAUCAGAAAGCCACGGCUAACUACGUG
rnacentral:rRNA from 1 species